rnacentral:rRNA from 1 species
GGUUAAGCGACUAAGCGUACACGGUGGAUGCCCUGGCAGUCAGAGGCGAUGAAGGACGUGCUAAUCUGCGAUAAGCGUCGGUAAGGUGAUAUGAACCGUUAUAACCGGCGAUUUCCGAAUGGGGAAACCCAGUGUGAUUCGUCACACUAUCAUUAACUGAAUCCAUAGGUUAAUGAGGCGAACCGGGGGAACUGAAACAUCUAAGUACCCCGAGGAAAAGAAAUCAACCGAGAUUCCCCCAGUAGCGGCGAGCGAACGGGGAGGAGCCCAGAGCCUGAAUCAGUGUGUGUGUUAGUGGAAGCGUCUGGAAAGGCGCGCGAUACAGGGUGACAGCCCCGUACACAAAAAUGCACAUA